CACGUAGGGCGCAAGCGUUGUCCGGAAUUAUUGGGCGUAAAGAGCUCGUAGGCGGUCUGUCGCGUCUGCUGUGAAAACUCGGGGCUUAACUCCGGGCCUGCAGUGGGUACGGGCAGACUAGAGUGCGGUAGGGGAGACUGGAAUUCCUGGUGUAGCGGUGAAAUGCGCAGUAUAUCAGGAGGAACACCGGUGGCGAAGGCGGGUCUCUGGGCCGUAACUGACGCUGAGGAGCGAAAGCGUGGGGAGCGAACAGG
rnacentral:rRNA from 1 species